UACAGAGGGUGCAAGCGUUAAUCGGAAUUACUGGGCGUAAAGCGUGCGUAGACGGUUGCGUAAGUCAGAUGUGAAAGCCCCGGGCUCAACCUGGGAAUUGCAUUUGAGACUGCGUAGCUAGGGUGCGGAAGAGGGAAGCGGAAUUUCCGGUGUAGCGGUGAAAUGCAUAGAUAUCGGAAGGAACACCAGUGGCGAAAGCGGCUUCCUGGUCCAGCACCGACGUUCAGGCACGAAAGCGUGGGGAGCAAACAGG
rnacentral:rRNA from 1 species